GUUCUCUUUGGCAGUGCUAUUACUAAAAUUGGAACACAGGGAAGAUUUGCGUGAUCCCUGCACAAAGGUGACAUACAAAUUCAUCACAACUUCCAUAUUUUU